CAAGGUUAUGAUGAACCCAAGUGCAUAGUUCAUAUGAUUAAGUAAUAAUGUUUACUUGAACAAGAAUAGUCUUUCGCUCCUAUCUGAUCACCUUA
rfam:Hordeum vulgare subsp. vulgare, WGS project CAJW01000000 data, contig: morex_contig_1559558